UACGAAGGGGGCUAGCGUUGCUCGGAAUCACUGGGCGUAAAGGGUGCGUAGGCGGGUCUUUAAGUCAGGGGUGAAAUCCUGGAGCUCAACUCCAGAACUGCCUUUGAUACUGAAGAUCUUGAGUUCGGGAGAGGUGAGUGGAACUGCGAGUGUAGAGGUGAAAUUCGUAGAUAUUCGCAAGAACACCAGUGGCGAAGGCGCUCACUGGCCCGAUACUGACGCUGAGGAGCGAAAGCCAGGGGAGCGGAACGGG
rnacentral:rRNA from 1 species